AAGGCGUUUUUCGGGAGUCAAGAUGGCCGAAUACGAACAGCUCAGGUCUACAGCUCCCAGCGUGAGCGACGCAGAAGACGGGUGAUUUCUGCAUUUCCAUCUGAGCUGCUGCAGAUGCUGUCUGAGGAAGCUCUGCCCCUCAGCUGCUCUGAUCCUGUGCUUAGCACUCUUAGCCUGGUGCAGGGCCUGCUGUCUGCUCACUCUCACCAUGUCCUGCCCAGGGCCUGACCCUCCUGAGGGGCCCGGGACCCAGCGUGUGUGGCAAGGGGCUCUACGGAUCCUACAGCUCCCAGGAGCCCCCAGGUGAUAGAGUCACCAGUAAACCAGAGCCCAUGCCUUGAGGGAGAGCCCCAAGGUGGGUCUGGGACUUGGGGAUGAGCUGGGAGUGGGAGGUCUUCCCUGCCUUUGGUGUGAUUAAUUACAUUUUCCUCUAGUGGCAGGAAGAAUGGCAACUCUAAGGUGUGGCUCCACCAAAAGAAUCCUCUCGGGCACCCUAAGGAACAGGCCCAGAGGCAGAGACUGAGGGAGCAGCAGCAAAUUUGGAUUCGAGAGAAGCUGAAGCAUUUGGAACAGAAGGAGGAGGUGGCAGAUGACCAGGUCAAAGGCCUGGUGGCUGAAGAGGAG
rnacentral:sRNA from 1 species